AUACGUAGGGGGCGAGCGUUGUCCGGAAUUAUUGGGCGUAAAGGGUUCGCAGGCGGUCUGGUAAGUCAGUUGGGAAAGGCAAUUGUUCAAACAUUUUAAGCAUUUGAAACUUGCAGACUUGAGUUAAGGAGUGGAAAGUGGAAUUUAUAGUGUAGCGGUGAAAUGCGUAGAUGUUUGGAGGAAUACCAGUGGCGAAGGGGACUUUCUGGACUUAUACUGACGCUGAGGAACGAAAGCGUGGGGAGCAAACAGGAUUAGAUACCCUGGUAGUCCACGCCGUAAACGAUGAGUGCUAGGUGUUGGGGGUCAAACCUCGGUGCCGCAGCUAACGCAUUAAGCACUCCGCCUGGGGAGUACGUACGCAAGUAUGAAACUCAAAGGAAUUGACGGGG
rnacentral:rRNA from 1 species